rnacentral:rRNA from 1 species
AUUGAACGCUGGCGGCAUGCCUUACACAUGCAAGUCGAACGGCAGCGCGGGGCAACCUGGCGGCGAGUGGCGAACGGGUGAGUAAUAUAUCGGAACAUACCCUAGAGUGGGGAUAACGUAGCGAAAGUUACGCUAAUACCGCAUACGCACUAAGGUGGAAAGUGGGGGAUUCGCAAGAACCUCAUGCUCAUGGAGUGGCCGAUAUCUGAUUAGCUAGUUGGUGAGGUAAAGGCUCACCAAGGCAACGAUCAGUAGCUGGUUUGAGAGAACGACCAGCCACACUGGAACUGAGACACGGUCCAGACUCCUACGGGAGGCAGCAGUGGGGAAUUUUGGGACAAUGGGGGGCAACCCUGAUCCAGCAAUGCCGCGUGAGUGAAGAAGGCCUC